UGCCAGACUCCUACGGGAGGCAGCAGUGGGGAAUAUUGGACAAUGGGGGGAACCCUGAUCCAGCGACGCCGCGUGAGUGAAGAAGUAUUUCGGUAUGUAAAGCUCUAUCAGCAGGGAAGAAAGAAAUGACGGUACCUGACUAAGAAGCCCCGGCUAACUACGUGCCAGCAGCCGCGGUAAUACGUAGGGGGCAAGCGUUAUCCGGAUUUACUGGGUGUAAAGGGAGCGUAGACGGCGAUGCAAGUCUGAAGUGAAAGGCGGGGGCCCAACCCCCGGACUGCUCUGGAAACUGUACGGCUGGAGUGCAGGAGAGGUAAGUGGAAUUCCUAGUGUAGCGGUGAAAUGCGUAGAUAUUAGGAGGAACACCAGUGGCGAAGGCGGCUUACUGGACUGUAACUGACGUUGAGGCUCGAAAGCGUGGGGAGCAAACAGGAUUAGAUACCCGAGUA
rnacentral:rRNA from 1 species